rnacentral:lncRNA from 1 species
UUCCCUUCGAAGAUUUGCUUCAGCUUCUCAUCGCAGAAGAUCUCCCUCUUGUCAGCAGGAUUCUGUCACAAAACAACAUUCACCACAAUAGAAAAAAACACUGUGAUUAAUUGGUGAUCCAUACAUCAAUCAAGCUUCUCUACCAACUUCAUCAACAAGAUACAAUAGAAUGCAUCAGUUCGAUUCACAUUUACCCCUAAAAGAUUGUUUUCCUUGCUAUUUUUUAGGUUCGUAAAGCAAAAAGACAAGGGUUUUAAAGACUUCAACCAUCUCUCUCAGACAGGAUAUGACAAUGGAGUUGUCGCAAAGACAUUAGUAGAUAAGACACGAGAAAUAAACUACUUUUUCAGCAGAACAACAAGACACAACCAGGGAUAAAACAGAGAGAGCUUUUCAGAUCUGGAAAGCACAAGUGAAUCUUUUUUAGUUAUCAAACUUCUCUACGAACUUCAUCAAGUAAAAUGUACCAACGAAACCCUAAUUUUCGUCUACAUGCAAGAUCCAAACUUUACACACACAAAAUGCAGAGAAGAGGAGAAAGAGAGUAAACCUGAAGAUCGUGGGACUUGACAUAGGUCCAAACCUCUUUGACGGCGUCGGUACGUGUGGUUUCACCGGUACCAAGGAAGUGAGCGAGAGCUGGAGAGACAGGGGUCGCCUUGAAGAUCCCAGUAGUCCUCGGCGUCUUCUUCGCCAGAGAGUCUGGUUUCGACUUUGCCUUAGGUUUCGCCUUCGGUUUCGCCGCCGACUUCUUGGUGCCUCCAGCUGCGACAGUGCUUACACUCCUCGAAGAAGAAACCACGGAAGAGGUGGCGGCGGCUCGAGAUGCAGGAGCUAGAAGCGAUCUGCAUCCCCUGAAAAAAACCCUAGCUGCAACGGAAGACAUCUCUCGCUAAUUUCAAGUGACAGAGUGGGGACAGAGUGUCUGUGUGUGAUGUCGGAGAAUUUAUUGAAGAAAGUAUUUGGGGGAAAAAGGUUUGACCUUUGACUCUUCCACGUGACGCUUUCUAAAGUAUGAAACUUGGCCUCUUUGAUACCAAAGAUUUAAACUUUCAAAUUCAGGGGGAAAGUUCUCAACUUCUUCUCGAGUCACAUCUCUUCUUCUGUGAGCUUAAAUCACGAGUUCAGGGACGAUUGGAAUAAGUAUGGGCCUCUUGGAGUCUCUGAUGUCAAUGGAUCAUGGAGAAGUAAUGGGUGGUGUGGGAAAAUCUACGGUUGCUAUCUCUCAUGUACAAUUCAAGCUCACUCUUUCAUAGACAAUAUCAAGGAAUCAUAGAACAUAUAUGGUAACAGAGAUUGUCUACCUGAUGAGUCUUAUCCUAAGCAAUAACCAACCUCCCAGUACACUCUCUAACUAUCAAUAUAUAUAAACUCUCUGUACAGCUCUCUAUAAUAGUUGUAACUGUAUAAAGAAUCAAGUUGUUAGUUAGUUAGUUACAGAAGAUAGCUGAUGUAAAGCUCUAUAUAAACACUUGUAAAAUCAUUUGAGCAAAGAUUAACACUAACACUGCAAAACAAGGAGUUGCAGAGGGAAUAAGCUAAAUACAAAACUUCCUAGACCAAUCCUAACAUGUCUCUUACAAAUAAUCUAUAUAGCAUUCCCAAGAAAUGAACAAUCUUUCAGCAAAAUCAUUCAAAUGUGAGAACUUCAAAUUCUGAAGAACACUUAUUCAAUACUAAAAAAAAAGUUUCAAACUUUGUUACUCAUAACCAAUCAAUCAAGCAGUGAUCCCCAUCACUCUUUAAACAGCCACAUUUUGAGUACAUUUCAAUCAGUGCAUUCCCUAUACGCAACUCCGAUUCAUACCCAAACCUUAACAGACAACAGUGGAUCUCCUUGCCUAGUCGUUUACCAGCAAGUGAAGCACACAUAGGCAAUGUAACUAAGAAAGUAGCCAUAUCAGGCACCACACCGCUGUUCCUCAUCUGUGUAGUUACCUGCAAACCAGUUGCGAAGUCUCCAGAACGAACACACGCUGAAAUAACCAUGUUCCAUGUCACUGUAUCUCUAGUUUCCAUGCUAUUGAAUAUCUGCAGAGAAUCUCCUCCUUCUUCCCCGCACUUAGCAUACAUAUCAAUCAGAGCAUUACUAACAGAAACAUCGGAAUAAAAACCAGACUUUGUCACGUUACAGUGUAGCCCUCUCCCAAAUUUCAAGUCUUCUAAACGAGUUGAGAGAGAUACAAGCAUUAAGUAAGUGACAUGAUCCGCUUGCUCUUCCAUCAUCAUCAUCAUCUUAAAGAGUUUCACACCUUCCAAAUAAUCUCCACUUUGUAUAUAUCCACUGAUUAACGAGUUCCAUGAAACAGUAUCCUUACACUCCAUUCCCUUGAACACAUCUCUUGCCGCGAUCACAUCACCGCACUUCGCAUACACAUCGAUUAAAAUGUUCCCCACAGUAGCUCCAACCACAAAUCCACCUCUCAUCAUGUACUCAUGAACGUACUUUGCUAAGCUUAAGUCCCUUAAGUGUCCACAGGCACGGAGAAUAGAGCUAGCCGUUAAGAUAUCCGCCUUGAACUGCUCAAGAUUCUCCAAAAACAACCGCACGGACUCUUCAUACAUCUCUAAGUUGAAACACCCACAGAUGAUAGUAUUGUAACUGACUGAGUCUCUAACAACCAUCUCAUCGAAAACUCGCCUAGCAUCCCUUACUCUCCUUAGCUUCAAGUACAUUGAGAGUAAUCCAUUGUUAACCACAGUUACAGAACUAACACCUGACUUCAUAACAAAACCGUGAAGCUCCUCUCCUUCUUUGACAGCCAGCAGAUUCCCAAACGCAUACAGAACACUAGUCACAGUAAACGAAUCCGGCACAAUCCAAGAGCUUCUUCGCAGCUCACGAUAAAGCUCCACCGCUUCCUUGUAGUAACCAUGUGAGCUAAACCCGGAGAUCAAACUGUUCCAAGAAACUAAAUCUCUCACAGGCAUUUCGUCGAACACUUCCCGCGCUCUACUCAAAAACCCCAUCCUCGAGUACAUAUCAACAACCGCAUUCCCCACGUACAAAUCAGACUCAAACCCCAAUUCGAUUAUCUUAUUAUAAACCGAAUCUCCCAUCUCCUUAUCGAACACCCCCGCGCACGCUUUGACGACGGGAGGGAACGUGUACUUAUCGGGCGAGACCUUGGCCUCGCGUAGCUUCCCGUAGAACUCGAGUGCUUCAGAGAAUAAACCGUUAUGAGAAAGCGCUCUGAUGAUCGAGUUCCAGAGGUAGACAUUCUCCGCGGGAGAGACUCGUUUGAAGACGGAGAGGGAGGAGCGGGGAUCUUUGAGGUGAGAGUAUUUGUCGAUCAGCUUGCCGGAGAAGAAGUCGGAGGAGCGUUCGAGGCCUAGAGAGAUGACGAGGGCGUGGAUUCGGCGGAGGUCUUUGAGGUUGGAUGAUGAAAGAGCUUUCGAGAUGGAGGCUGGUGACAGUACCAUUGAGCUUAUGUUUGCGCGUAAUUCUUCUUUUCUUAUAUAGUUUCCGUUUAAAAUUCAAAUUUUAAAAAAUUAGUUCAGAAAAAAAAAUUCAAAUUUUUAAUUUUUAUAACUAAAAAAAUAGAGUUUUACGCCUAAAAAGUAAUUAGUUGACUAAUGAAUUUGUGAAAAAAUAAUAUAAUGAUUUAAUUAAGAGAAAUUUUGUAAGAUAGUUUUUUUUUUAGUUUUUAUCGCAAAAAUAGUUUUCAAUGAGAAAAAUGACUAAAAGAAUUUGUAUUAAAGAUAAAAAUAUACUUAUAUCUUAGGAUUAACUAAUGUAAACUUAUGAUUUAUAGUUAAGAAGUGGAGUUUUAAAGAUAUAAUUGCAAAUUUUAAAAAAUUAAAAAUAAAAAUAAAAAGUUUCGAAAUAAAAAAUGAGUUAGUUUGAUCUUUUUUCCAUUGAAAACUAUUUUUGUGACAAAAUAAAGAAACUAUUUGAGAAAAUUGUUUUUUAAUUAAUGGUUCAUUAAUGUUUCAUUCCAAAAAAAAAAAAUCUGAAAACGAAUUAUUAUCACAUAGAAAUUAAUAUAAUUUUUUAGAGCCAAUGUUUGUACUAAUUCUAUAAUUUGUGAUCGAAUGGUAAGUAAAUGGAAUGUUAAUAAAAAUUAAGUAGUUGAUUACUUGAUUAAGAUAAAUAGUUUGGAAACUUGAUGUCAAGACACUUUCUUCACAAGUCAAACCAUGUUUACAAUCGUUUUAACAGGUACCAAAAGAGUUAAUAGAUUAUUUGACAACGUUAAGAACGAGAACAAGAGCUUCUUCCUUCCGUGUUGAGCUAAGAGUCAAGUAGUCUUCACAAAGUGAGUGGACAAGAGCUUUGUGACCUCCAGAAACCCGACUUUGUCUUUCCCUUCGAAGAUUUGCUUCAGCUUCUCAUCGCAGAAGAUCUCCCUCUUGUCAGCAGGAUUCUGUCACAAAACAACAUUCACCACAAUAGAAAAAAACACUGUGAUUAAUUGGUGAUCCAUACAUCAAUCAAGCUUCUCUACCAACUUCAUCAACAAGAUACAAUAGAAUGCAUCAGUUCGAUUCACAUUUACCCCUAAAAGAUUGUUUUCCUUGCUAUUUUUUAGGUUCGUAAAGCAAAAAGACAAGGGUUUUAAAGACUUCAACCAUCUCUCUCAGACAGGAUAUGACAAUGGAGUUGUCGCAAAGACAUUAGUAGAUAAGACACGAGAAAUAAACUACUUUUUCAGCAGAACAACAAGACACAACCAGGGAUAAAACAGAGAGAGCUUUUCAGAUCUGGAAAGCACAAGUGAAUCUUUUUUAGUUAUCAAACUUCUCUACGAACUUCAUCAAGUAAAAUGUACCAACGAAACCCUAAUUUUCGUCUACAUGCAAGAUCCAAACUUUACACACACAAAAUGCAGAGAAGAGGAGAAAGAGAGUAAACCUGAAGAUCGUGGGACUUGACAUAGGUCCAAACCUCUUUGACGGCGUCGGUACGUGUGGUUUCACCGGUACCAAGGAAGUGAGCGAGAGCUGGAGAGACAGGGGUCGCCUUGAAGAUCCCAGUAGUCCUCGGCGUCUUCUUCGCCAGAGAGUCUGGUUUCGACUUUGCCUUAGGUUUCGCCUUCGGUUUCGCCGCCGACUUCUUGGUGCCUCCAGCUGCGACAGUGCUUACACUCCUCGAAGAAGAAACCACGGAAGAGGUGGCGGCGGCUCGAGAUGCAGGAGCUAGAAGCGAUCUGCAUCCCCUGAAAAAAACCCUAGCUGCAACGGAAGACAUCUCUCGCUAAUUUCAAGUGACAGAGUGGGGACAGAGUGUCUGUGUGUGAUGUCGGAGAAUUUAUUGAAGAAAGUAUUUGGGGGAAAAAGGUUUGACCUUUGACUCUUCCACGUGACGCUUUCUAAAGUAUGAAACUUGGCCUCUUUGAUACCAAAGAUUUAAACUUUCAAAUUCAGGGGGAAAGUUCUCAACUUCUUCUCGAGUCACAUCUCUUCUUCUGUGAGCUUAAAUCACGAGUUCAGGGACGAUUGGAAUAAGUAUGGGCCUCUUGGAGUCUCUGAUGUCAAUGGAUCAUGGAGAAGUAAUGGGUGGUGUGGGAAAAUCUACGGUUGCUAUCUCUCAUGUACAAUUCAAGCUCACUCUUUCAUAGACAAUAUCAAGGAAUCAUAGAACAUAUAUGGUAACAGAGAUUGUCUACCUGAUGAGUCUUAUCCUAAGCAAUAACCAACCUCCCA